GUGCUUGCUUUGGCAGCACAUAUACUAAAACUGGAGCGAUACAGAGAAGAUGAGCGUGGCCCCAACACAAGAAUGACAAGCAAAUUCAUGAAGCCUUCCAUGUUUUU